GGAAUAUAGCUCAGUUAGGAGAGUGCUUGCCUUGCAUGCACAAGGCCCUGGGUUCAAUCCCCAGCACCA
rnacentral:tRNA from 1 species